rnacentral:rRNA from 1 species
GAUGAACGCUAGCUACAGGCUUAACACAUGCAAGUCGAGGGGAAACGACAUCGAAAGCUUGCUUUUGAUGGGCGUCGACCGGCGCACGGGUGAGUAACGCGUAUCCAACCUGCCCAUCACUUGGGAAUAACCUUGCGAAAGUAAGACUAAUACCCAGUGACAUCCCACGAAGACAUCUGAAUGGGAUUAAAGAUUUAUCGGUGAUGGAUGGGGAUGCGUCUGAUUAGCUUGUUGGCGGGGUAACGGCCCACCAAGGCAACGAUCAGUAGGGGUUCUGAGAGGAAGGUCCCCCACAUUGGAACUGAGACACGGUCCAAACUCCUACGGGAGGCAGCAGUGAGGAAUAUUGGUCAAUGGGCGAGAGCCUGAACCAGCCAAGUAGCGUGCAGGAUGACGGCCCUAUGGGUUGUAAACUGCUUUUAUAAGGGAAUAAAGUGGGUCUCGUGAGACUUUUUGCAUGUAUCUUAUGAAUAAGGACCGGCUAAUUCCGUG